UACGAAGGGGGCUAGCGUUGCUCGGAAUUACUGGGCGUAAGGCGCACGUAGGCGGCUUUCUAAGUCGGGGGUGAAAUCCUGGAGCUCAACUCCAGAACUGCCUUCGAUACUGGAAAGCUCGAGUCCGGGAGAGGUGAGUGGAACUGCGAGUGUAGAGGUGAAAUUCGUAGAUAUUCGCAAGAACACCAGUGGCGAAGGCGGCUCACUGGUCCGGUUCUGACGCUGAGGCGCGAAAGCGUGGGGAGCAAACAGG
rnacentral:rRNA from 1 species